GUUUGUCUCUCCUGGUGUGGUGUCUGGAGGAGUUGGGGUUUGCCUCUCCUGGUGUGGUGUCUAGAGGAGUAGGGGUUUGUCUCUCCUGGUGUCUAGAGGAGUAGGGGUUUGUCUCUCCUGGUGUCUGGAGGAGUAGGGGAUUUGUCUCUCCUGGUGUGGUGUCUGGAGGUGUAGGGUUUUGUCUUUCCUGGUGUGGUGUCUGGAGGAGUAGGGGGUUUGUCUCUCCUGUUGUGGUUUCUGGAGGAGUAGGGGUUGUCUCUCCUGGUGUGGUGUCUAGAGGAGUAGGGGUUUGUCUCUCCUGGUGUCUGGAGGAGUAGGGGGAUUGUCUCUCCUGGUGUAGAGAUGUAGAGCUUUCUCUCUCCUGGUGUGGUGUCUAGAGGAGUAGGGGGUUGUCUCUCCUGGUCUGGUGUCUGGAGGAGUAGGUGGUUUGUCUCUCCUGGUGUGGUGUCUGGAGGAAUAAGGGUUUGUCUCUCCUGGUGUGGUGUCUAGAGGAGUUGGGGUUUUGUCUCUCCUGGUGUGGUGUCUGGAGGUGUAGGGGUUUGUCUCUCCUGGUGUGGUGUCUGGAGGAGUAGGGGAUUUGUCUCUCCUGGUGUGUUGUAUGGAGGUGUAGGGGUUUGUCUAUCCUGGUGUGGUGUCUGGAGGAGUAGGGGUUUGUCUCUCCUGGUGUGGUGUCUGAAGGAGCAGGGGGUUUGUCUUUCCUGUUGUGGUGUCUGGAAGAGUAGGGGUUUGUCUCUCCUGGUGUUGUGUCUGGAGGAGUCGGGGUUUGUCUCUCCUGGUGCGGUGUCUAGAGGACAGGGGGUUUGUCUUUCCUGUUGUGGUGUCUGGAAGAGUAGGGGUUUGUCUCUCCUGGUGUUGUGUCUGGAGGAGUCGGGGUUUGUCUCUCCUGGUGCGGUGUCUAGAGGAGUUGGGGUUUGUCUCUCCUGGUGUCUGGAGGAGUAGGGGGUUUGUCUCUCCUGGUGUGCUGUCUAGAGGAGUAGGGGUUUGUCUCUCCUGGUCUGGUGUCUGGAUGAGUAGGUGGUUUGUCUCUUAUGGUGUGGUGUCUGGAGGAAUAAGGGUUUGUCUCUCCUGGUGUGGUGUCUGGAGGAGUUGGGGUUUUGUCUCUCCUGGUGUGGUGUCUGGAGGUGUAGGGUUUUGUCUCUCCCGGUGUGGUGUCUGGAGGAGUAGGUGGUUUGUCUCUCAUUGUUACGUUCC
ensembl:lncRNA